CUUGGUAAGUCCCCAACUAGACAAAUUUUAUUUUUUGAUGAUAGCCUCCCAACUACUAGAGAUAUGCAUAUAUUGACCCCUUUACAGGUUAACCCAAACUUGAUCCCUUACAUAGCUACAAAACAUGAUAUUUCUAUUAAAGAUAAGCAAAGAAAAAAAUGGCGACUCAACAAACGCCUUACCCGUUCUAGAAUUACAUGUAUGCAGGAUAAUAAGGACCUACACCUGAUAUUAACUCCCUUGCAGAUACCUUCAACUGAUAUUUCUAUAAAAACUAUUACAUUCCCUAUGGCACCUCUACCAUGCAUAUUUUGACAUAUAUUUGAUGACCACCACUCA